AGCUGCGGCAGCGACGCUGAUGCGUUGUUGGGUAGGGGAGCGUUCUGUAAGCCUGUGAAGGUGUGCUGUGAGGCAUGCUGGAGGUAUCAGAAGUGCGAAUGCUGACAUAAGUAACGAUAAAGCGGGUGAAAAGCCCGCUCGCCGGAAGACCAAGGGUUCCUGUCCAACGUUAAUCGGGGCAGGGUGAGUCGACCCCUAAGGCGAGGCCGAAAGGCGUAGUCGAUGGGAAACAGGUUAAUAUUCCUGUACUUGGUGUUACUGCGAAGGGGGGACGGAGAAGGCUAUGUUGGCCGGGCGACGGUUGUCCCGGUUUAAGCGUGUAGGCUGGUUUUCCAGGCAAAUCCGGAAAAUCAAGGCUGAGGCGUGAUGACGAGGCACUACGGUGCUGAAGCAACAAAUGCCCUGCUUCCAGGAAAAGCCUCUAAGCAUCAGGUAACAUCAAAUCGUACCCCAAACCGACACAGGUGGUCAGGUAGAGAAUACCAAGGCGCUUGAGAGAACUCGGGUGAAGGAACUAGGCAAAAUGGUGCCGUAACUUCGGGAGAAGG
rnacentral:rRNA from 1 species